AUUGAACGCUGGCGGCAGGCCUAACACAUGCAAGUCGAACGGUAGCACAGAGAGCUUGCUCUCGGGUGACGAGUGGCGGACGGGUGAGUAAUGUCUGGGAAACUGCCUGAUGGAGGGGGAUAACUACUGGAAACGGUAGCUAAUACCGCAUAACGUCGCAAGACCAAAGAGGGGGACCUUCGGGCCUCUUGCCAUCAGAUGUGCCCAGAUGGGAUUAGCUAGUAGGUGGGGUAACGGCUCACCUAGGCGACGAUCCCUAGCUGGUCUGAGAGGAUGACCAGCCACACUGGAACUGAGACACGGUCCAGACUCCUACGGGAGGCAGCAGUGGGGAAUAUUGCACAUUGGGCGCAAGCCUGAUGCAGCCAUGCCGCGUGUAUGAAGAAGGCCUUCGGGUUGUAAAGUACUUUCAGCGGGGAGGAAGGUGUUGAGAUUAAUAACCUCAGCAAUUGACGUUACCCGCAGAAGAAGCACCGGCUAACUCCGUGCCAGCAGCCGCAGUAA
rnacentral:rRNA from 1 species